CUGGCUCAGGAUGAACGCUGGCGGCGUGCUUAACACAUGCAAGUCGAACGGAGCUUAGAAGGAAGCUUGCUUUCAUUUAAGCUUAGUGGCGGACGGGUGAGUAACGCGUGAGUAACCUGCCCUUGAGAGGGGAAUAACAUCGAGAAAUCGGUGCUAAUACCGCAUAAUGUCGGAGUACCGCAUGACAUUCCGACCAAAGAUUUUAUCGCUCAAGGAUGGACUCGCGUCCGAUUAGCUAGUUGGUGAGGUAACGGCCCACCAAGGCUUCGAUCGGUAGCCGAACUGAGAGGUUGAUCGGCCACAUUGGGACUGAGACACGGCCCAGACUCCUACGGGAGGCAGCAGUGGGGAAUAUUGGGCAAUGGGCGCAAGCCCUGACCCAGCAACGCCGCGUGAAGGAUGAAGGUCUUCGGAUUGUAAACUUCUUUGAUUGGGGAAGAAUAAAUGACCUACCCAAAGAACAAGCCACGGCUAACUACGUGCCAGCCGCGGC
rnacentral:rRNA from 1 species